GUGGGGAAUAUUGGACAAUGGGCGAAAGCCUGAUCCAGCCAUGCCGCGUGUGUGAAGAAGGUCUUCGGAUUGUAAAGCACUUUAAGUUGGGAGGAAGGGCAGUAAGUUAAUACCUUGCUGUUUUGACGUUACCGACAGAAUAAGCACCGGCUAACUUCGUGCCAGCAGCCGCGGUAAUACGAAGGGUGCAAGCGUUAAUCGGAAUUACUGGGCGUAAAGCGCGCGUAGGUGGUUUUGUAAGUUGGAGGUGAAAUCCCCGGGCUCAACCUGGGAACAGCCUGCAAAACUGCAUGACUAGAGUACGGUAGAGGGUAGUGGAAUUUCCUGUGUAGCGGUGAAAUGCGUAGAUAUAGGAAGGAACACCAGUGGCGAAGGCGACUACCUGGACUGAUACUGACACUGAGGUGCGAAAGCGUGGGGAGCAAACAGGAUUAGAAACCCCAGUAGUCC
rnacentral:rRNA from 1 species